UUAAGAGAAUUAAGGGCACACGGUGGAUGCCUAGGUAAUAAGAGCCGAUGAAGGACGUGGUAAGCUGCGAUAAGCCUGGAGUAGUUGCAAUCGAACUUUGAUCCCAGGAUUUCCCAAUGGAGAAAUCUGCUAAGAUGGAGUCUUAGCGUGAAAACGGUAACCUGAUGAACUGAAACAUCUAAGUAGUCAGAGGAAAAGAAAGUAAAAACGAUUCCCUAAGUAGCGGCGAGCGAACGGGGACAAAGCCUAAAUCAUGUAAGUGUCAAGGAUGCAGCCGUUGCUUGCAUGAGGUAGUGGGAAGUUGCUUGAAGAACUGCAAGUUAUUCAGCGAUGUUAUUUCAACCAAUUAGAAUAAGCUGGAAAGCUUAACCAUAGAAGGUGAUAGUCCUGUAUAGGUAAAUUGGAAUAUGCGCGUGACUCUCCCGAGUAGCACGGAACACGAGGAAUUCUGUGUGAAUCUGCGAGGACCAUAUCUCGUAAGGCUAAAUACUCUUAUUAACCGAUAGCGUAUAGUACCGUGAGGGAAAGGUGAAAAGAACCCCGGGAGGGGAGUGAAAUAGAACCUGAAAUCGUGUGCUUACAAGCGGUCAGAGCCCUUCGGGGUGAUGGCGUGCCUUUUGGAGAAUGAUCCUGCGAGUUACGUUCAGUGGCGAGGUUAAGUAUACCGGAGCCGCAGGGAAACCGAGUCUUAAUAGGGCGCAUAGUCGCUGGGCGUAGACGCGAAACUUGGUGAUCUAAUCCUGUCCAGGGUGAAGCUGUGGUAAGACACAGUGGAGGCCCGAACUCACCGCCGUUGAAAAGUUGGGAGAUGAGAUAGGUUUAGGGGUGAAACGCCAAUCGAACUAAGAGAUAGCUCGUUCUCUCCGAAAUGCAUUUAGGUGCAGCCUUAGGAGAUAAAUUACGGGGGUAGAGCACUGAAUGGUCUAGGGGGCAUAUUGCUUACUGAAACCAACCAAACUCCGAAUACCGUAAUUCCCAUCCUAGGAGUGAGACUAUGGGUACUAAGAUCCAUGGUCAAAAGGGAAACAACCCAGACCGUCAGCUAAGGUCCCUAAUUAUAGCUAAGUGGGAAAGGAGGUGGAGAUUCACAAACAACCAGGAGGUUGGCUUAGAAGCAGCCAUACCUUUAAAGAGUGCGUAAUAGCUCACUGGUCGAGAGUCUCUGCGCCGACAAUGUAACGGGGCUAAGCUAUAAACCGAAGCUACGGAAUUAUGCGUAUGCAUAAUUGGUAGGAGAGCGUUCUGUAGGCUGUUGAAGGAGGACUGAUAAGGAACUCUGGAGGUAUCAGAAGUGAGAAUGCAGGAAUAAGUAGCGAGAAAGAGGGUGAGAAUCCUUCUCGCCGGAAGACCAAGGUUUCCAGGGUAAAGCUUGUCUUCCCUGGGUAAGCCGGGACCUAAGCUGAGGCUAUAAUGCGUAGGCGAAUGGAAAACAGAUUAAUAUUUCUGUGCCACUUAUAUAUUGUGAAGGAGGGACGCAGAAGGGUAUGUAAGCAGGAGAACGGAAGUUCCUGUGUAAGCAUGUAGAGUGAAACGGCAGGCAAAUCCGCUGUUUUAGACUUGAGGUGUGAUGCGUAGCCCAUUAGGGCGAAUUUACAGAUCCCACGCUGCCAAGAAAAGCUUCUAGCGUUAAUAUAUAAGUGCCCGUACUGUAAACCGACACAGGUGGUCAGAAUGAGAAAUUUAAGGCGGACAGGCUAACUCUCGCUAAGGAACUCUGCAAAAUGAAUCCGUAACUUCGGGAGAAGGAUUGCCCCUUUGUGUAGAGAGCUGUGCGCUCAAAGCAUGAGGGGGUCGCAGUGAAGAGGCUCAGGCAACUGUUUAACAAAAACAUAGGUCUAUGCUAAGCUGUAAGGCGAUGUAUAUGGGCUGACACCUGCCCAGUGCCGGAAGGUUAAGAGGAGGAGUGAGAGCUCCGAAUUGAAGCCCCGGUGAACGGCGGCCGUAACUAUAACGGUCCUAAGGUAGCGAAAUUCCUUGUCGGGUAAGUUCCGACCUGCACGAAAGGUGUAAUGAUCUGAGCGCUGUCUUGGCGGGAGGCCUGGUGAAAUUGUAUUACCGGUGAAGAUACCGGUUACCUGCAGUAGGACGGAAAGACCCCAUGGAGCUUUACUGUAGCUUGGUAUUGGGUUUUGGUGUCGUAUGUAUAGGAUAGUUGGGAGGCUAUGAUGUAUGGACGCUAGUUCAUGCGGAGCCGCUGGUGGAAUACCAACCAUACUACACUAGAAUUCUAAUUUGAGGUUUGUAACCUCGAAGACAGUGCUAGGUGGGCAGUUUGACUGGGGCGGUCGCCUCCGAAAGAGUAACGGAGGCGCCCAAAGGUUCCCUCAGGUUGGAUGGAAAUCAACCGCAGAGUGUAAUGGCAGAAGGGAGCUUGACUGCGAGACUGACGGGUCGAGCAGGUGCGAAAGCAGGGCAUAGUGAUCCGGCGAUUCCGAAUGGAAGGGUCGUCGCUCAACGGAUAAAAGCUACCCUGGGGAUAACAGGCUGAUUUUGCCCGAGAGUCCAUAUCGACGGCAAAGUUUGGCACCUCGAUGUCGGCUCAUCUCAUCCUGGGGCUGGAGAAGGUCCCAAGGGUUGGGCUGUUCGCCCAUUAAAGAGGUACGUGAGCUGGGUUCAGAACGUCGUGAGACAGUUCGGUCCCUAUCCACUGCAGGCGUAAGAGUAUUGCAAAGAUCUGUCCUUAGUACGAGAGGACCGGGAUGGACAAACCUCUGAUGUACCAGUUGUCACGCCAGUGGCACAGCUGGGUAGUCACGUUUGGAAUAGAUAACCGCUGAAAGCAUCUAAGCGGGAAACUGACUUUAAGAUAAGUACUCUAUAGACAACUUCGAGACUAGGAGUUUGAUAGGUUGGGAGUGUAAGAGCAGCAAUGUUUUUAGCGGACCAAUACUAAUAAGUCGGAAUCUUAAUCUU
rnacentral:rRNA from 1 species